rnacentral:rRNA from 1 species
ACGGAAGGCAGCAGUGGGGAAUUUUGGACAAUGGGGGCAACCCUGAUCCAGCCAUGCCGCGUGAGUGAAGAAGGCCUUCGGGUUGUAAAGCUCUUUCGGCGGGGACGAAACGGUUCGUGACAACACCACGGACUAAUGACGGUACUCGCAGAAGAAGCACCGGCUAACUACGUGCCAGCAGCCGCGGUAAUACGUAGGGUGCAGGCGUUAAUCGGAAUUACUGGGCGUAAAGCGUGCGCAGGCGGCUCCUUAAGUCAGAUGUGAAAUCCCCGGGCUUAACCUGGGAACUGCGUUUGAAACUGGGGAGCUAGAGUGUGGAAGAGGGGGGUGGAAUUCCAGGUGUAGCAGUGAAAUGCGUAGAUAUCUGGAGGAACACCGAUGGCGAAGGCAGCCCCCUGGGCUAACACUGACGCUCAUGCACGAAAGCGUGGGGAGCAAACAGGAUUAGAUACCCUGGUA